rnacentral:rRNA from 1 species
GACGAACGCUGGCGGCGUGCCUAAUACAUGCAAGUUGAGCGCUGAAGGUUGGUACUUGUACCGACUGGAUGAGCAGCGAACGGGUGAGUAACGCGUGGGGAAUCUGCCUUUGAGCAGGGGACAACAUUUGGAAACGAAUGCUAAUACCGCAUAAAAACUUUAAACACAAGUUUUAAGUUUGAAAGAUGCAAUUGCAUCACUCAAAGAUGAUCCCGCGUUGUAUUAGCUAGUUGGUGAGGUAAAGGCUCACCAAGGCGAUGAUACAUAGCCGACCUGAGAGGGUGAUCGGCCACAUUGGGACUGAGACACGGCCCAAACUCCUACGGGAGGCAGCAGUAGGGAAUCUUCGGCAAUGGAGGAAAGUCUGACCGAGCAACGCCGCGUGAGUGAAGAAGGUUUUCGGAUCGUAAAACUCUGUUGGUAGAGAAGAACGUUGGUGAGAGUGGAAAGCUCAUCAAGUGACGGUAACUACCCAGAAAGGGACGGCUAACUACGUG